ensembl:lncRNA
GUUGCUCAAAAUGUAUUGUAAUGGGUUUCUAUUGAAUAGUCUCAUCCCCCACAACAUUUAGGCAUUACUUCAUUGCAUAAGUCUUUACAUGCAAAAUGGUUGAAGAAAUGUGUGAAGUGUUAGAUCAACCAACGAUCAACCAGUUUACUGAAAUAGCUCAAAGGUGCAUCUCGUGAACCAUGAACUGGUUACAUCAGAACAUCCCUCCAGUACACUGUUAUAUUGACAACAUGACUAAGCAAUUUGACUGUCUUAUCCAUACACAAUGACACAAGGACUUGUCAUUCUGAUGGCACUGAAAUGUUCAUUGACACAGAGAUGAACUAAGGAUUUUGAGCAAGAGACUGGCUUUUGCAGGUAAUCCAUGGUGUUUUGCUAUUUGUACAAAUUGUUUUGAGAAAUGCAUUUACUUUUUUGCAAAUGUUGAGGAUGAUUUGAGAAAUGUACCAAAGCAACUGAGGAAAAGUGUAAUAACCAGCAAUAAAUUAAUUAAUUAAUUAAUUUGUCGUCUAUGUUUGUCAAGUGUUCGUCUAUGUUAUAUGUCAAACAAUAUCUGAACGGGACAGGCUACCGGUUACCCCAACGCUUCGGCUAUCCCUCAACAUGGGAGAAGGACCAGAGCUCCCAGGAACCCAGGGGAGCCGGUGUUGCUGAUGAACAGACUUGAAACAUGAAGAGGAAAUCGUAGCAAUUCAACUGUAGACCACACCAGGAGCCCAUCGGCUGGCCUCAUGAUUACAUUUACAGACAUCUGCUCCUAUAUACACUUCCAGCCAUAAAAACAAUGGAGCACCUCACACACAAAAGGUUUCAAUGAUAAUACUUGAUCACAUCUUCCCUCACGCCAUAUCAUGGCGGCAAACUAGGGAUUAGACAAGAGGGGAUUUGACCUAAUGUAACCAUGGAACGAUUUAAAGCUGAUCUCCUUAUUG